AUCCCACGGCAGGCUUUGUGGUGGCACCUCAGUUGUAACCAAGCAACGGAACGUAGUACAUUCCAACUGAGCCCAGCGACAUCGCGUUACUUGACCUUUCUUGCACCUUAGUAGUCGACCAGCAUUCCGUUUGAUGUGUGCAGCACUUCUUAACUGGGUCUCCAACUUGUUCACCGCCGGCAACAGCAUGUCGAUCGCCACCUACGAGGAAGUCCUGGACCUGCCGAACCACCCGGAAAAGCUGCUGAUUGACGUCCGUGGCGUGGACGAGGUCGCCUCAACGGGGGCCAUCCCGACUGCCAUCAACAUUCCACUGGACCAAGUGGACAAGGCCUUUGCGCCGGAGACCACUUCUGAGGAGUUUCAGAAACUGUACGGAGUUGCGAAGCCGGACAAGGAUCGCUACAUCAUAAUGUCCUGUCGCACGGGCCGUCGCAGCCAGAUGGCGCUGGAUACGAUCAGUGCGCUGGGGUAUUCCAAUUCCCACCGUCGAGCGAGCCCUGCAGCUGCCAGCGGAUGAGUUCAAGGCCAAGUACGGGCGCGACAAGCCCACGCCGGAAACCGAGGUUAUCUUUUCCUGCAAGCUGGGAGGACGGGCGCAGACCGCAACCAACACAGCUCUCGGACUAGGAUUUACCAAUGCCAAAAACUACAAGGGUUCCUGGACCGAGUGGGCUGCCAAGCAGGGCAAGUGAUUUGGAAGAAAUAAAGUAUUAAUUGCAUAUUCAAUAAAUUAUUAAGCACUUAAAAAUUUA